rnacentral:rRNA from 1 species
AUUGAACGCUGGCGGCAGGCCUAACACAUGCAAGUCGAGCGGGAGCUUCGGUUCUAGCGGCGGACGGGUGAGUAAUGCGUAGGAAGCUACCCGACAGAGGGGGAUACCAGUUGGAAACGACUGUUAAUACCGCAUAAUGUCUACGGACCAAAGCGUGGGACCUUCGGGCCACAUGCUGUCGGAUGCGCCUACGUGGGAUUAGCUAGUUGGUGAGGUAAUGGCUCGCCAAGGCGACGAUCCCUAGCUGGUUUGGGGGGAUGAUCAGCCACACUGGAACUGAGACACGGUCCAGACUCCUACGGGAGGCAGCAGUGGGGAAUAUUGGACAAUGGGCGAAAGCCUGAUCCAGCCAUGCCGCGUGUGUGAAGAAGGCCUUCGGGUUGUAAAGCACUUUCAGUAGGGAGGAAGAGUUGAGUGUUAAUAGUACUCAGCUUUGACGUUACCUACAGAAGAAGCACCGGCUAACUCUGUGCCAGCCGCCGCCGUAACAC